rnacentral:ncRNA from 1 species
CGUUUACUUUGAAAAACUUAGAGUGUUCAAAGCAGGCUCUCGAGCCUGGAUAAUGGUGCAUGGAAUAAUGGAAUAGGACCUCGGUUCUAUUUUGUUGGUUUUCGGAGCGCGAGGUAAUGAUUAAGAGGGACAGACGGGGGCAUUCGUACUGUGCCGUUAGAGGUGAAAUUCUUGGAUCGGCGCAAGACGAACGACUGCGAAAGCAUUUGCCAAGAAUGUUUUCUUUAAUCAAGAGCGAAAGUCAGAGGUUCGAAGACGAUCAGAUACCGUCCUAGUUCUGACUAUAAACGAUGCCAACUAGCGAUCGGGGGGCGUUACAUUGACGACCCCUCCGGCAGCUUACGGGAAACCAAAGUCUUUGGGUUCCGGGGGAAGUAUGGUUGCAAAGCUGAAACUUAAAGGAAUUGACGGAAGGGCACCACCAGGAGUGGAGCCUGCGGCUUAAUUUGACUCAACACGGGAAAUCUCACCCGGCCCGGACACAGUGAGGAUUGACAGAUUGAGAGCUCUUUCUUGAUUCUGUGGGUGGUGGUGCAUGGCCGUUCUUAGUUGGUGGCGCGAUUUGUCUGGUUAAUUCCGAUAACGAACGAGACUCUGGCUUGCUAAAUAGUUACGCGACCAUCCCGGUCGGCGUUUAACUUCUUAGAGGGACAAGUGGCGUUUAGCCACACGAGAUUGAGCAAUAACAGGUCUG